rnacentral:misc_RNA from 1 species
GAUGAAGAACGCAGCAAAAUGCGAUAAGUAAUGUGAAUUGCAGAAUUCAGUGAAUCAUCGAAUCUUUGAACGCACAUUGCGCCCGCCAGUAUUCUGGCGGGCAUGCCUGUUCGAGCGUCAUUUCAACCCUCAAGCCCUCGGGUUUGGUGUUGGGGAUCGGCGAGCCUUUCUGGCAAGCCGGCCCCGAAAUCUAGUGGCGGUCUCGCUGCAGCCUCCAUUGCGUAGUAGUAAAACCCUCGCAACUGGAACGCGGCGCGGCCAAGCCGUUAAACCCCCAACUUCUGAAUGUUGACCUCGGAUCAGGUAGGAAUACCCGCUGAACUUAAGCAUAUCAUUAAGCGGAGGA